rnacentral:lncRNA from 10 species
CCAGAGCAACCUAUAGAUUCCAUACAAUUCCUAUUAAAAUUCCAUUAUCCUUUUUUUUUGCAGAAAUGGCCAAGAAAAAUUCAUAAGGAAUUACAAAGAUCAUGAAUAACAAAAACAAUCUUGAAAAAGCUACAGUACUCAAGACAAUGUGAUAAUGACAUAGGAUAGACAUAGAAAUCAAUGGGAUAGAAUUGAGAGUCUGGAUAUAAACCCAAGCAAAUAUGGUCAAUUGGUUUUCAACAAGGGUGCCAAGACCAUUCAAUGGGGGAAAAAUAGUCUUUUCAACAAAUGGUGCUGGGACGACUUGGAUAUCCACAUGCAAAGUAAUAAAUUAGGAACACUAUCUCACACUACGUAAAAAUUAAAAUGGAUCAAAGGCCUAAAUGUAAGCUAAAACUAAAAAGCUCUUAGAGCAUAAGGAGAAAUCUCUGUGACCUUGGAUUAAGCAACAGUUUCUUAAAUAUGACACCAAUGCACAAGCAAGCAAAAGAAAUAAGUUGGUCUUCGUCAAAAUUUAAAACUCUUGGCCGGGUGUGGUGGCUCACGCCUGUAAUUCCAGCACUUUGGGAGCCAGAGGCAGGCAGAUCAUCUGAGGUCAGGAGUUUGAGACCAGCCUGGCCAACAUGGUGAAACCCCAUCUCUAGCAAAAAUAUGAAAAAUUAGCCAGGCGUGGUGGCAUUUGCCUGUAAUUCCAGCUACUCAGGAGGCUAAGGCCUGAGACUAACAAAUCUCGGCAAAGAUAUGGACAAAUAAAAAUCCUCACACAUUGCUAGUGCGAAUAUAAAGUGGUGCAGCUGCUUUGGAAAAGCUUGGCAGUUCCUCAAAUAGUUGAACAUAAGAGUUAUCAGGACCUAGCAAUUCCACUACUAGGUGUAUAACCAAGAGAAUAAAAAAGCAAUGUUCACACAAAAAUUUGUACAUGCAUAUUGAUAGCAACAAUAUUUAUAAUAGCCAAGAAGUAGAAACACUCCAAACAUCCAUCAACCAAUAAAUGGAUAAACAAAAUGUGGUUUAUUCCUGUUAGAUAUGUUAACUAUCUUGACCGUGGUAAUAAUUUUAUUAAUAUAUAUAUAUGUCAAGCUUUAUCGAAUUGUGUAUUUUAAAUAUGUGUGGUUUAUUGCAUGCCAAUCAUAACUCAAUAAAGCUGUAAAAACAUAAAAAGUAUAUCCAUCCAAUGCAAUAUUAUUCCGUCAUAAAAUGGAAUGAAGUACUGAUACUGCAUGGAUGAACCUUGAAAACAUUAUUCUAAUUGAAAGAAGCCACACAGGUCACAUAUUAUAUGAUUCCAUUUAUCCGAAAUGUCCAGACUAGGCAAAUUCAUAGAUACAGAAAGUAGAUUAGUGGUUGCCAGUGGCUGGAGGAAGAGAGAGGGGAGUGAUUGCUAAUGGAGUCAAGGUUUCUUGGUGGGGUGAUUAAAAUGUUCCAGGAUUAGCGGUAAUGGUUGCAUAAUUUGUGAAUAUACUAAGAACCACAGAACCGUACACUUCAUAAGGGUGAAAAUGAAUUACAGGCCAGGCACGGUGGCUUACGCCUGUAAUCCCAGCAUUUUGGGAGGCCAGGGCGGGUGAAUCACUUGAGGCCAGGAGUUCAAGACCAGCCCGGCCAACAUGGUGAAACCCUGUCUCUACUAAAAAUACAAAAAUUAGCCGGGCGUGAUGGCACAUGCCUGUAAUCCCAGCUAGUCAGGAGGCUGAAGCAGGAGAAUCGCUUGAACCCAGGAGGCGGAGGUUGCAGUGAGUCAAGAUCACACCACUGUACUCCAGCCUGGGCAACAGAGUAAGACCCUGUCUCAAAAAAACCAGACAAACAAACAAACAACAACAAAAAGAAAAUGAAUUAUAUCACAAUAAAAAUAUACCAAGUUUUUGUAAUAUAAAUAUAUAUAUAUAUAUAGGGGGAUCACUUGAACCCAGGAGUUUGAGAGUACAGUGAGCUCUGAUCAUGUCACUGCACUCCAGCCUGGGUGACAGAGCAAGAUCCAGUCUCAAAAAAAGAAAGGAAAUCAGAAAUAAUUUCAAUAACUAAAUGUCAAAGGGAAAUAGAAA